CUGUAAGCUGAAAUCCACCCUUUCCUUCUCAAGUCGCUUUUGCUCAUGGUGUUUUAUCACAGCAGUAGAAACCCUAAUGAAGACACUAUGGAAACAGGUCUGUAGUGAGUGUCUCUCCAUGGUCUUUGUUUCUGUUCCUGCACAAAGCUUCCCGCUCUGGCUUCCUUCAGCACAGUUAGCUCUUCUUUUCAAGCUCUUUUUGGUAAACAUUUCAGAGUCAGCACACUAACAAAAUGAUGUUUGUCACCAGUUCCUGGACUGUGGUGAGUUCCUUAAGUCAGUUUUACUUUAUGUACUCUCAUUGCAGGCAGUCACCUGAGAUUUUUUUAUUGGAUGGCUCUUUG
rnacentral:lncRNA from 1 species